rnacentral:tRNA from 1 species
UGGCUCAGUGGUAGAGCACUUGCCUUGCAUGCAUGAGGCUCUGGGUUCAAUUUCUCAG